AGCUCCAAUAGCGUAUAUUAAAGUUGUUGCAGUUAAAAAGCUCGUAGUUGGAUUUCUGGCAGGAGCGACCGGUCACGCGCUUUGCGCGUGAACUCGCGUUGUCUCUGGCCAUCCUCGGGGAGAUCCCGUUUGGCAUUAAGUUGUCGGGCGGGGGAUACCCGUCGUUUACUGUGAAAAAAUUAGAGUGUUUAAAGCAGGCUUAUGCCGUUGAAUAUAUUAGCAUGGAAUAAUAAGAUAGGACUUCGGAACUAUUUUGUUGGUUUGCGUUACGAAGUAAUGAUUAAUAGGGACAGUUGGGGGUAUUCGUAUUGCGUUGUCAGAGGUGAAAUUCUUGGAUUUCCGCAAGACGAACUACUGCGAAAGCAUUUACCAAGGAUGUUUUCA
rnacentral:rRNA from 1 species